UACGAAAGGGGCUAGCGUUGAUCGGAAUUACUGGGCGUAAAGCGCACGUAGGCGGCCUUGUAAGUUGGGGGUGAAAUCCCCGGGCUCAACCCGGGAACUGCCUUCAAGACUGCAAAGCUCGAGGAUGCGAGAGGUUAGCGGAAUUCCGGGUGUAGAGGUGAAAUUCGUAGAUAUUCGGAAGAACACCAGUGGCGAAGGCGGCUAACUGGCGCAUUUCUGACGCUGAUGUGCGAAAGCGUGGGGAGCAAACAGG
rnacentral:rRNA from 1 species